GGAAGCCGGGAAGGCAGCAGGGACCAGAUUAUGGCAGGCGGCCAGGCCAGGCCAGGCUCGGUAACUACCUGGAUGGAUUCAGAUGCCGUGGUAGAGCUUCAGAGGCCGUCUACACCCGCAGGGGUUGGGGAGUGACCUAACAGUUCGAGCUGGGCUGUCACUGCUGCCUCUGCCGGGCAGGUUAUUGGUUCAAGGUCGCUAAUGUGCCAGUCCUCAGGGGUGAGCUCACUGACGCCUGAGUGAGCUACCUGGACAGUUAAAGGAGCAGGAAUUGUCAGAAACAAAAGAAAUAUGGAGGAGUGUCCUUUUCAAAUGUCGAAUCACUUCCGAAGACCAGUUGAAAAGGCCAGUGCAUAAAUCUGCACCCUUUGGCCAGGCUGUGUGGUUUGCCUGUUUCCAGAUACUCCGUCCAGAGACCUGAUGAAUCCUGGUCUCCUCCUGGUGAUCUAUUGAGCUGCCCCAAGAACAGAUCAGUCACUCUGUGGGAAGCUAGCUGCCAUGUGGAAAGGCCAUUCAGGCAGCCUACGGAGAGGCCCUGCGGUGAGCUACUCCAGAGCCAGAGGGAAACUGAGGCCCCCAAGCCACCACAUGGGUGAGCUCGGAAGUGGAUCCUCCAGCCCCAGCCGUAUGGAGAUCUUCUAUGAGAACAAAGUAAAUCUGGAUGUCCCAGAAACCAAGAUAUACUGAAAGAAAGAUAGAGUCCUGAUGAUAGAAUUUGAAUCCCUGAGUUCACACGUACCUGAAGCCAGAAGUUGUACCCUUUGAUCUUCCUCACUGCA